ACUCUUUGAGGUGGUAAAUUUCGUGUCGACCACACGCCGCCGGUAGGACAGGGGCAACCCGAGAGAUGCAGGAGCAGGCACGCCUGCCAAAGAGU
rnacentral:ncRNA from 12 species